rnacentral:lncRNA from 1 species
AUGCAGCAAUUAUCAAAUUACUCUAACGAGUUUUCCUCCGAAGGUUUUGGAUGGAGUGGACCCCCAUCGCUCGUCUCAAGCAGUGAAGCUUCUUCGCCUGUCAAUAUUCCAGAUUUCUAUCUCAAAGAUGGCUUCUCUAAGACAAGUGAUGGAACAUCCGAGAGUGAACGGCUUCCUCACACAUAUUUUGAUGUUGAUGCAUUCAGUUCGACUGACUUGAUGAGCGAUAAUUAUUAUGGACAUCGAGAUAGUAUUGAAAUCGCUGACCUUUAUGUGCCAAACAAAAAAUCCGAUUUUGAUAAUGAAACGAUUGAAACGAUGCGCAGUACUGCUAUUCAUCAUGCCCAGCUCAACACUAUUUUAUAUUCUCAAUCGCCCUCGAUUCCUCAUUUAGAUCAUGAUAAGUAUGAAGGGAGUGGAGAGCUAACCCCUGUGUCCAGUUCUGAGCUGAAGUUCAAUUGGUCUGACUCGGAAGUGAACAAUGAAUCCGAUAAUGACAUGAUGCAUUUAGAGGCGAAUGAAGAGGAAAAGACACUCACUUCAACCAUGAAGGAAACUGACCAAUUAAAAGCAGCUCUGAAAGCGCACAUCGAAGCUCAAAAUAAGCUUUCGUCUCAGGUCUGUGCAGACGGCACCUCAGCUGGCACCAUCAAUGAAGUUGUCAGUGCAAGCGGCGAGCCCUUUGAAAGGACUGAGCCAGACGUUGCUGUAGGUAGCUCAAAAAAAGGUGAAAAAGUAAGCAGGUUCCGCGUCGAUUUUCCGCAGUAUGAUACAACAUCCCAAGCAAGUGCCUUGCCUGAUUCUAAUGCAAGCAGUGAUAAAGAGUCUUGA